CAGUCGCCGCGGUAAUACGAGGGGGGCAAGCGUUGUUCGGAAUUAUUGGGCAUAAAGGGUGCGUAGGCGGUUUGACAAGUCUUGUGUGAAAUCUCUGGGCUCAACCCAGAGUCUGCACGGGAAACUGUCGGGCUAGAGGAUGGGAGAGGUGAGUGGAAUUUCCGGUGUAGCGGUGAAAUGCGUAGAUAUCGGAAGGAACACCUGUGGCGAAAGCGGCUCACUGGACCAUUUCUGACGCUGAUGCACGAAAGCUAGGGGAGCAAACAGGAUUAGAUACCCCCGUAGUCCCUGUCUCUUAUAC
rnacentral:rRNA from 1 species